rnacentral:tRNA from 1 species
GCCUGGGUGGCUCAGUCAUUUAAGCGUCCGACUUCAACUCAGGUCACGAUCUCGCGGUCUGUGGGUUCGAGCCCCACGUCGGGCU